rnacentral:rRNA from 1 species
GACGAACGCUGGCGGCGUGCUUAACACAUGCAAGUCGAACGGAAAGGCCCUGCUUUUGUGGGGUGCUCGAGUGGCGAACGGGUGAGUAACACGUGAGUAACCUGCCCUUGACUUUGGGAUAACUUCAGGAAACUGGGGCUAAUACCGGAUAGGAGCUCCUGCUGCAUGGUGGGGGUUGGAAAGUUUCGGCGGUUGGGGAUGGACUCGCGGCUUAUCAGCUUGUUGGUGGGGUAGUGGCUUACCAAGGCUUUGACGGGUAGCCGGCCUGAGAGGGUGACCGGCCACAUUGGGACUGAGAUACGACCCAGACGCCUACGGGAGGCAGCAGUGGGGAAUAUUGCACAAUGGGCGGAAGCCUGAUGCAGCAACGCCGCGUGCGGGAUGACGGCCUUCGGGUUGUAAACCGCUUGCGCCUGUGACGAAGCGUGAGUGACGGUAAUGGGUAAAGAAGCACCGGCUAACUACGUG